rnacentral:rRNA from 1 species
UACAGAGGUGGCAAGCGUUGUUCGGAAUUACUGGGCGUAAAGGGCGCGUAGGCGGCUUGGUCAGUCCCGUGUGAAAUCCCUCGGCUCAACUGAGGAACUGCACGGGAAACUGCCUGGCUUGAGUUCGGGAGAGGGAAGCGGAAUUCCGGGUGUAGCGGUGAGAUGCGUAGAUAUCCGGAGGAACACCGGUGGCGAAGGCGGCUUCCUGGACCGACACUGACGCUGAGGCGCGAAAGCUAGGGGAGCAAACGGG